UACCUACGGGAGGCAGCAGUGGGGAAUAUUGGGCAAUGGGCGCAAGCCUGACCCAGCAAUGCCGCGUGAGGGAAGACGGUCCUAUGGAUUGUAAACCUCUUUAGGCGGGGAGCAAUGCCGGGCACGUGUGCCCGGAGGGAGAGUACCCGCAGAAUAAGCAUCGGCUAACUCCGUGCCAGCAGCCGCGGUAAUACGGAGGAUGCGAGCGUUAUCCGGAUUUAUUGGGUUUAAAGGGUGCGUAGGCGGAUUUUUAAGUCGGCGGUAAAAUGUCCGGGCUCAACCCGGGCCGGCCGUUGAAACUGGGG
rnacentral:rRNA from 1 species